GCUGAAUAUGGCCAGCUUCUCAUCUUUGUAAAUUCAAAAGCAUUUGCUUGCUCAGCAAAGGAUAACUUUAAGGCUUUCUUUGUUCAGUGAAAUCUGCUUUUCCACUUUGUGUAGGGUAGAACUUAGUUUUGGAUCAUGAACACCUUGGAAAAUCUGAGGGAGAAGUAUAGACAUUGCUUCCAGGAGAAGGAAAGCGGGAAAGUGUAUCCAUAUGUGUGUGUGUUACAAAUUCAUGCAAACUUUUUAUACAAUUUUAGGGGCUUCAAUGUAUUCAAUAAGACCCCCUACUCUAGGACCCCUGCACAUUAAUUAGGAGGAAGUCAUGAUGUGGAUAACUCCAAAAGGUGAAAAUCCAAAAGUAAAUAAAGCACUGGAGGCUGCUGUGAUAAAGAGGAAAGGACGUCAAACCAGGAGUCAAAAUGCACAGGCUGAAGUCCUGGCCCUGCCACUGACUGUUGCUCAGAGACCUUCAGAGAUCCACAUCCCUCCUCCGGACCUCAGCUUUCUCCAGAGAAUCCCUCAAUGCUAACUGUUGCAGAGUACUCCAUGGAGUGCACCCAUCACACGUGGACUACACGGAGCUCCAGGGAUGGACAUCAGAUUUGCCUCUAACUCCUCAUCACCCUAAACAACAUUGUCAUCAACUCCAUUGCACAUGUCUCCUUGUGGACCCAUCACAGCACCAUCAGUUCCCACUGUUGCAGGCUAAGGAAGAAGCCUGUACACAGUCCCAUCUGGGUGGGAUUGGCUGUCCACAGAGGUAGGAAGACGAAGUGAUGCCAAGUAGGAUCAUCUUCCCUCCAGAACUUGGGCCCAGUCUUCCAGGAGUUGUCAUCUGUGCUUGGAGCAAUAACUCAUUUUCUCUCCUCUCUUACCAUGUGAAUUUUUCACUACUUUAAAAA
rnacentral:lncRNA from 10 species